rnacentral:lncRNA from 1 species
UUAAAACUAAGUUUUAUUAACAUAUUACAUUUGUUAAUAGAUAAAUCAAAUACCGGUACCUUAUCCUGUUCUCGUUGUCAUUAGUAUAGACAAUCUAUUAUGGUUAAUUAAGUUAGUACACACAUUUUCAUUAAUCCGGAAUGAUUUCUAUUUACUUGUACUAAAGUUAUAAUGCGAAAACCAAAUGUCUUCGAACGAAGACGACGACAACGCCAACGUCAUAUUAACCAAAAAAUUUUCAAUGUUUGCAGAUAAAAAGUGUUACUAAGACCACUCACUAGGACAGGAUCGAUAUCGUUCCUGUUAGACUGUUUGUUUCCAAGGAUAUCAUCGUAGAAGUCCGUAGUUCGGUACUGACAUAAUUCAUAACACAUUUUUUUCUGAAUGAUCCUGCUGCUAAAAUAAACCAGAUGCUUCGCAGGGCGCAGCUUUAUACGACCACAGAGGUUGAACCCUGAACGGUUGGGGCAAGUAUGGACACAACAUUCAAGCUGGAUUCAGCUCUAAAUUUGGAUUGUGAUUAAAUAGUUGACACAGCAUAGGUUUCUGACACAGAAUGACUGUGGUCUAAUGAACUUAAAAUAUUUUUUUUUGCCUUUGAGCAAUUCACUAUGCUGUUGAAUAUUAAUCCUCUCAAAAAAAUGUUUGAAGAAAUUUUCUUUUUAUUUAUGAAAUCUGAAAUGAGAAAAAUUUAACCCCCCCCCCCCAUUUUUUUUCACAUCCCCCUUUCCCUUUUUCCAAAACUGAUCUCAAUUCAAAUUUCUAAUGGAGUUUGCAACAAUAACAACUCAUUUAAAUACAUCAUAAAAUAUUAAAAUGUAAAAUAAAGUGCUUGUUAUCACUGAAUGGUAAAGAUUGUUUUAAUUUAUCAGUUGGUAGUAAAAGUGAAUAUACAUUGUAUAUUG